AGGUGAUUGAUGCCCGGUGAGAAGGUGAAAGUGACCUAUACCCCUGUCAGCUGCAUGAAAGGAACCAAGAGAAAGGUGAUUGAUGCCCGGUGAGAGGGUGAAAGGGACCUAUACCCCCGUCAGCUGCAGGAAAGGAACAAAGAGACAGGUGAUUGAUGCCCGGUGAGAGGGUGAAAGGGACCUAUACCCCCGUCAGCUGCAGGAAAGGAACAAAGAGACAGGUAAUUAAUAUUUAUAUUACUUACUGAUAACAAUCAGGCUAGAUACAACAUCUAAACCUGCAAAGAUGUCAUAGUCUCUACCUUAUACAUGAAGAUAUAUGUGUUUUUAAUAGGUAUAUCGUCUAUAGACAGCUUCUUAUAUAACACAACUGUGUCUCAGGUACAGAGAUUGGGAACAUUUAUGAUUUCUAAUAUCUGUUUUUUAUUUGUAGUAAUCCCUUUUUCAAUAGACAGAACGCUGAUUUAAGACAUAACUGUACUGUAAAGAAAAAUCUAUAAGUUAAUGUAAUAAAUCACAUACUAUAACUGAUUAUUGCCAUUUAAAACUAUGAAAAAUACAUUAUGUUGAUUAUAAAACAGAAAUACAGAAUGGAGACAA